UGGGACCAUGAGACCUCCCACUCCUGGGGCCAGAAGGAGUUGCUGAGAAGGAGCUGUGGUUCUGACCUUCAGGGGAAUUCCCACGUCUGUAUGGUGGCUCGUGAAGAGCAUGGUUCCUUUUCUCAGCCCUCUUGAGGGGCGAGGAUGCUGAGGACUGAAGUCGGUCACUGAGAGGCUGCCAGAGGGCCAUUUUCAUGACCAGAGGGAUCUGUUCAACACCCUGUGGGUCCCAGCACCUAUCUCAGGAAGCAGGGUGCAUCUGUCCACCACCAAGUCUCAGGGUGGCUGGGUGAGCGCUCAUCAGUCCCAGACAGCAGGUUGGCACAAAACGACACUGCCCACAAAACCACAGGAAGAAGAGAAACUCCGACUGUCUUUCAGCACACAGAAGACACUGUACUGGACCCGGACAUUAGGCAGACACCCACGCCUGACUUUCAGGAGAAAAGAGAACAUGACUAACGGAUAUUCUUAGUAGAUGGUUUAUUAGAAAAGAGAACAUCUUCCAGCAUGUGUCCUGGGGUGAUGGGUGUGGGAAGCACUCAGUCCAUAGUCCUGGUCCCUGGCUUCCCCAAGCCCAGCACCAUGAAUGUACAGUGGAAAGCAGAGGGUGCAGCGUCUCAGAAAGAUGCUUCCACUCACAAGGAUUGGAGCUCACAAGUGAGCUCCAUAACCUGCAAACCAGAGAAACCUGAGACACUGCCCCUUGGCCAUUUUAUCAACGGAGACUUUAUUGUGAUUAUCCCGGCAGGGGGCCGAGCUCUCCUCUCUGCAACAGGAAAUGCUCUUUAGUGAAAAUGCAGCAUUUCUCCAAGGGUAACAAAGCUGAACGCCUGCUUAGCUUAUGAACCCUCAGUUGGCCUAGGUGGUGCAAAGACCCUGCUGUUACUGCUUUGAUCAUCAGUACUGUGGACUGUACCAGGAGAUCCCUGGGAAUGUGCUCUGGGCGGAAGCAGCUUUUAUCUUUGGCCCUCACCCAUGCUUUAUAUGGUGAGGUUGGGAAAAUGGCACAAGGCUUCUCCUGAACCUCAAAUCAACACCCUUGCCCCAUUUAGAUCCUAUCUGGCUGUUUCUUGCUAAUAUUACUGCAUCACUGCACCAUCUUUCCUAUUUCAGCAAAGUGGAGUCAUGUGUGGUUUAUGGGGUAGAUGGACCCCAAAACUGAUAAUAUGAAUCAAGCUAUGGUGUUUACUCCCUAGGAAAUGCACAAUUUUUCUGGAAACCUACAGAAGCUUCAAAUGCAUUCGCCAUGCAAAGCUAAGUCAGCAGAACAACCCGUUUGGCUUUGGAGGCUAGUUCAGUUCCGCGGACAGGGAGAAAGAUGAGGCAGACUGUGGUUUUUCAGUUCCUGGAGCUUACGGAGCUCCAAAGCUCCCUCUCUUCCCACCCUGGCUGCACUGUUCUUAAUUUUAGAUAAUACCCUGCCUUCUCGUAUUGCUGCUGAGCUCCUAGCAUCCUCAGUUUAUCUGUCUGUGAAAUGAAAAAUCUAAUGUUAAAUUUUUUACCUAUGGCAUGAGAGAGAUGGCUAUGGCUCUUGUGAGCCUCUCUGCAGCCCCUCUUUUCCUUCAAUCACCCUCUGUCUCUCCUGCCUUCUGCUUAUUCUCUCUCUCCCCUCAUCCCCACUUUCCCAGUGGGUCCUCUGUUCUCUUUUUUUUUUUCUUUUUAAAUCUCUCUAUGCCUCCAGCCGAGAAGAUAAAGAGUGUACAUCUUUCUGGUUAAAAAGUUUUGCUUUGCAGAAACACAGCCAAUUUAUGAUUCUGGCCUUCCCAGCUAGGGACAGUGUUCAUUUACAUUUAGGACCAUGAGGAGAGAGGCUUAGCUGUGUGUUUCUGAGGCCGGAGAAAAUUACAGUGAUAUAUAACAGUGCUGCACUCAUAGAGGUGCUGAGCCGGGGUUGGGCUCAGGCGGCCGCUAAGCUCAGAGUGGAAAGUUUCAGAGGGGAGGCAGAAAGGAGAGGUCUAUAGCUCCUCCAGAUUCUAGGUAUUAAUUUACUAAGAUAUUCCUAAGCCAGAAAACAGAGACAGAAGACAAAGAGAAAGAGGGAAGAAGAGCAAGACAGAGAGUUAGAGAGAGACAAAGAGAGAGAGUUAGAGACAAAGAGAGAGUGGAGAGGAGAGAGAGCAAAUAUUGAAAGGAAAAGGAAAAAGAAAGAAACCUGACAGCUCAUGAACUUUUUAAAAAGUUACAAAUUAGAUUUGAAGAGAUGGGCAGAGGUUUAAGAUUUCUUCAUUAGGCUGGGUGUGGUGGCUCAUGCCUGUAAUUGCAGCACUCUGGGAGGCUGAGGGUGGCAGAUCAUCUGAGGUCAGGAGUUCGACACCAGACAGGCCAACAUGGUGAAACCCUGUCUCUACUAAAAAUACAAAAAUUAGCCAGGCAUGGUGGCACGCGUCUGUAAUCCCAGCUACUCUAGAGGCUGAAGCAGGAGAAUCGCUUGAACCCAGGAGGCGGAGGUUGCAGUGAGCCAAGACUGUGCCAUUGCACUCCAGCCUGGGUGACAGAGUGAGACUCUGUCUCCAAAAAUAAAAAAU
rnacentral:lncRNA from 10 species